rnacentral:snRNA from 1 species
GCCCAGUGCCUUUUGGCAUUUGGUCAACGAAAUGAUACAGAGAAGAUUAGCAUAGCCCCUGCACAAGGAUGACACGCUUCCCCAAAGGGAGCUACUGGUUUUC